rnacentral:rRNA from 1 species
CAGCACCUCAAGUGGUCAGGAUGAUUAUUGGGCCUAAAGCAUCCGUAGCCGGCGCUGUAAGUUUUCGGUUAAAUCUGUACGCUCGACGUACAGGCUGCCGGGAAUACUGCAGCGCUAGGGAGUGGGAGAGGUAGACGGUACUCGGUAGGAAGGGGUAAAAUCCUUUGAUCUAUUGAUGACCACCUGUGGCGAAGGCGGUCUACCAGAACACGUCCGACGGUGAGGGAUGAAAGCUGGGGGAGCAAACCGGAUUAGAUACCCGUGUAGUCC